ACUCUAGAUUCUAGUUAUCAGUUUUAUUUUGGGUGCAGUCUCUAAAGCAGUUUUCAAUCUCUGCACACCAUAUUACCUGAAGAAAAAGACUGCCUUUUGGUUACCAAGUGCUGUGGGGUCCCCAACUCACUAGCUUAUCCUUACUUAAGUGGACUUAACACAGCUAUGAGUUAUUAGUAACUAGUUUCACCAUAUUCGUGACUUAGGAUUUUCUAUGGCCAGUGUAUCAAGAAUCUAAAAAAUGAUGCUAGUUCCCAUUCAUCUUGCUAUUAGCUUUGGUCAUAAAAUUUGGGAGGGGGGGACAUUUUGAUCUGUAUAAAGUUUGCUAAAAGGUAUUUGAUGGUUUUGCCCAGAUAACUCCCCUAACUACCUCUCCCUCUAUGUUUCUUUGUUUUUGUUUGGUUUUGGUGCUGGGGAUUGAAGCCAGAGCCUCAUAUGCUAGGCACAUAUUCUACCACUGAAAUAUACUCCUAGCCCCAUCUAGGUUUGAAGUACUCCUAUGUAGACUGUUUUAAGUCAAGUAUAUAACAAACCAGAACUUGUGUAAAUAUAUGACUAUGUUAUAGGAAACGAAGUUACACAUUCUUUGUUCAGAAUAGUAAUGGAGAGAAUAUGUAAUUACAUGAAAUGAUAAACUAAAUUAUCUAUUAAUAUUUUGGGGAGUCUUUAAUUUAACCUUUGCCCUCCACCCAAAAUGGAACAUUCCUUUAGUCCAUCAUAUAAUCACUCCAUUUUAAGUGAAGAGUUUUUUCUUAGCUUUGACCAGUAAUUUAUAAAGAAAGCAAAUUUAUUUCUCACACUUUUGGAAGUUGGGAAAUCCCAAGUGUAAGGGCUAGCAUCUGGUAAGGAGCUUCAUGAUAUAGCAUCUCAUGGCAGAAGGUGGAAGAGCAAGAGAAGACAUUCACAUGUAGGCCAGGGAGUGGGAGGAAGGGGUAUAAAUUCACUCUUUUAUUCAUAACCUACUCCAUCUAUAACAACAUCAAUCUGUUCAUGGAGGAAGAAUUCUCCAGAUGGAUCACCUCUUAAGGGUCCCAUCUCUAAAGAGUUGGAUUGGGGAUCUCCAACCCAUGAACUGGGGAAUAAUAGAUACCAAAGCCAUAGCAGCCCAUACAAUAGCAGUUUUGUCUUUGUUACGAAUUGUCACAUUUUAGGAAGAUAUAUAUUGAGAUGUCGGAAUUUUUUUCACCAUUGCACUGGAGGGAUCUGUG
rnacentral:lncRNA from 1 species